CCUACGGUGGGCAGCAGUGGGGCAUCUUGGGCAAUGGGCGCCCGCCUGACCCAGCAACGCCGCGUGAAGGAAGAAGGCUUUCGGGUUGUAAACUUCUUUUGUCAGGGACGCAGCAAGUGACGGUACCUGACGAAUAAGCCACGGCUAACUACGUGCCAGCAGCCGCGGUACUACGUAGGUGGCAAGCGUUAUCCGGAUUUAUUUGGUGUAAAGGGCGUGUAGGCGGGAAUGCAAGUCAGAUGUGAAAACUAUGGGCUCAACCCAUAGCCUGCAUUUGAAACUGUAUUUCUUGAGUGCGGGAGAGGCAAUCGGAAUUCCGGGUGUAGCGGUGAAAUGCGUAGAUAUACGGAGGAACACCAGUGGCGAAGGCGGAUUGCUGGACAGUAACUGACGCUGAGGCGCGAAAGCGUGGGGAGCAAACAGGAUUAGAUACCCCAGUAGUC
rnacentral:rRNA from 1 species